rnacentral:rRNA from 1 species
UACGUAGGGGCCUAGCGUUGUCCGGAAUUAUUGGGCGUAAAGAGCUCGUAGGCGGUUCGGCAAGUCGGAUGUGAAAUCUCCACGCUUAACGUGGAGGGGCCAUUCGAAACUGCUGUGACUCGAGUCCGGUAGGGGAGUGUGGAAUUCCCGGUGUAGCGGUGAAAUGCGCAGAUAUCAGGAGGAACACCGGUGGCGAAGGCGGGUCUCUGGGCCGAUACUGACACUGAGAAGCGAAAGCGUGGGGAGCGAACAGG